rnacentral:misc_RNA from 1 species
GAUGAAGAACGUAGCGAAAUGCGAUAAGUAAUGUGAAUUACAGAAUUCAGUGAAUCAUCGAAUCUUUGAACGCACAUUGCGCCCAUUAGUAUUCUAGUGGGCAUGCCUGUUCGAGCGUCAUUAAUUCCACUUAAGCCCUGCUUAGUGUUGGGAAUCUACUCUAGUGGUGCUACCCUGGAGCUACCCCUGAAAGGGGGCUGGCCCGGUAGCUACCCUGUAGUUCCUCAAAGAUAGUGCGCGGAGUUGCGUGGUCCUCUGAGCUUAGUAACUAUACACCUAGCUUUUGAGUGUCCCGCGGCGCCUGCCGUUUAAACCCCAUCUUUUAAUGGUUGACCUCGGAUCAGGUAGGAAUACCCGCUGAACUUAAGCAUAUCAAUAAGCGGAGGA